CAAUCCCACAGCGUGGAUUCGCCUCCACAACAGAUAAUGUUUUGAAAUGUUUUAUCAUAGUAAACCUUACCACAUCUUCGUAUGUCCUCGGGUGCUCGUUUCCAAGCCAGUCCAGUCUCCCGGGGGAGUGCUCGCUCUUGGCGCCGCUGGUUGACGUGAUGCGGAUCCUGCGAGCUCAAGACGUCGUCGAUGGAAACUGGGGAAAAAAAGCGAUCCAGCAUCUUUGCGAUCUUCUCCUGAGUCACACCGUGUUUGUUCCUCCUUCAAAAUAAAACCUCAAAGGGAUCAAACUUCCAGCUGGUGUUGGGCUCACAAAAGUCCACUCGGUAUCCUCUCUGCAAGGCCUACAAGCGACAAAAAAUAAAAUGGUCACCUGCAUGGCAACAUGAGGCUCAAAGUGUUUAACCAGAAGCAACAAAACUAACCAUUUUGACAUAAGGCUUCAUCUCCCAAGCUUGCAGGUUUGUGUUGUCGAUGAUGACAGGAGAGCGGCUGUCAUGCAUAGCGUCGCUAGCUGCAAGACAGUUGGACAUAAACACUAGAGGUGUGACGUUUGCCAAGGAGUAGAGUCUUUGAACGAUUCUUUUCACAGUUGCGGGGCGUUUUAAAUGAAAUUUUCCCACGCUGCCUUCAUAUGUGCGCUACCUGCCUGGACUGGAGUCACACCGACUGAAACACCCCACAAAAUAGCCAAAAAAAAGAUCCACACACCAAGCAGGGGAGAUCAAUGUUGCAUUGACUUCAUUUACAUAUUGUUAAACUUCAUUUUAUUUCUAUUCACCCAAAAUUCUCAGCAACUUCUAUAGAAGUACGGUUGAGAGUGUCCUUACCAGCUCAAUCACGGUCUGGUAUGGAAACUGUACUGCUAAGGACAGGAAGGCACUCCAGCGAAUGAUUAAAACAGCUCAGUACAUAUCAGGAGCAGCCUUCCCCUCACUACAGGACAUGCACUCUACCAGGGCCACCAGGAGAGCCCACAACAUCAUAGAGGACAGUACACACCCCCAACACAGUCUCUUCAGCCUCCUACCAUCAGGCAGACGAUACAGGAGCCUGAAAUCCAGGACUAUGAGACUGACAAACAGUUUCUACCCACAGGCCAUCAGACUUGUGAAUGCUAACUUGUGAAUGCUAGCCCCCCCCCUCCCGUUUUACUUUUAUCUUUUUGAACAAAAGACAGCUACCAUGACAACCCCCAAACUGUGAACCAUCACUGUAGACACUUUUCACCUUUAAAGACACAUUAACUGCUGCUGUGACCCAAGGUCACCUCCAUAUUUAUACUGUUGACUGUCAAUCAGAAUGUGCAAUAAUGUUAUGUUACUUACUGUGCCUUGUAUAUACAUUUUUAUUUUUGUUUUUUAUUUUUAGCUAAGUACCGUGGGACUUGUUGAAGGGUGGACUAGCAAAGUAAGAUCUGUCUGUUUAACUGUGCAUAUGACAAUAAACAAUCUUGAAUCUUGAAA